AUGCAAUCUUUUGAUGAAAAACUUAAUUUGGAAGUUUCUAUACCUAGAACACUUAAUGAUGAGUGGGAACCUACUAUAAAGAUUAAAAUUAAAGAUCAUGAGUGUUUUGCUUUGUGUGAUUUGGGUGCUAGUGUUUCCACGAUUCCGAAAACUUUAUGUGAUAUUCUAGGUUUCCAUGAUCUUGAUGAUUGCUCUUUAAAUUUGCAUCUUGCGGAUUCCGCCAUUAAAAAGCCAAUAGGAAGGAUCAAUGAUGUCCUUAUUGUUGCAAAUAGAAAUUUGGUGCCCGUUGAUUUUAUCGUUCUUGAUAUAGAUUGCAAUCUUUCUUGCCCUAUUAUUCUUGGUAGACCUUUCCUUAGAACGAUUGGUGCAAUUAUUGAUAUGAAGGAAGGGAAUAUUAGAUUCCAAUUUCCAUUAAAGAAAUGCAUAGAGAACUUUAUAAGAAAGAAAGUCAAAUUACUUUAUGAAUCUAUCAUGCGAGCUACCUAUGAAUCAAGUGCCAAAGAUGGCACUACUUAG
rnacentral:rRNA from 1 species